AUUGAACGCUGGCGGCAGGCCUAACACAUGCAAGUCGAGCGAGCGGCGGACGGGUGAGUAAUGUAUGGGGACUGCCCGAUAGAGGGGGAUAACUACUGGAAACGGUAGCUAAUACCGCAUACUAUCGGAUAACCCAUAUGGGAUUAGCUAGUAGGUGAGGUAAUGGCUCACCUAGUCGACGAUCCCUAGCUGGGCUGCGAGGAUGAUCAGCCACACUGGUACUGAGAAACGGCCCAGACUACUACGGAGGCAGCAGUGGGGAAUAUUGCACAAUUGGCGCAAGCCUGAUGCAGCCAUGCCGCGUGUAUGAAGGAGGCCCUAGGGUUGUAAAGUACUUUCAGUCGGGAGGCGUUACCGACAGAAGAAGCACCGGCUAACUCCGUGCCAGCCGCCGCGGUAAUAC
rnacentral:rRNA from 1 species